rnacentral:rRNA from 1 species
AUUGAACGCUGGCGGCAGGCCUAACACAUGCAAGUCGAACGAGUGGCGGACGGGUGAGUAAUGUCUGGGAACCUGCCUGAUGGAGGGGGAUAACUACUGGAAACGUUAGCUAAUACCGCAUACCAUCAGAUGUGCCCAGAUGGGAGUAGCUUGUUGGUGGGGUAACGGCUCACCAAGGCGACGCUCCCUAGCUGGUCUGAGAGGAUGACCGGCCACACUGGAACUGAGACACGGUCCAGACUCCUACGGGAGGCAGCAGUGGGGAAUAUUUCGCAAUGGACGAAAGCCUGAUGCAGCCAUGCCGCGUGUAUGAAGAAGGCCUUCGGGUUGUAAAGUACUUUCAGUGGGGAGGCGUUACCCGCAGAAGAAGCACCGGCUAACUCCGUGCCAGCAGCCGCGGUAAUUC